CCUACGGGAGGCAGCAGUGAGGAAUAUUGGUCAAUGGACGAGAGUCUGAACCAGCCAAGUAGCGUGAAGGAUGACUGCCCUAUGGGUUGUAAACUUCUUUUAUAUGGGAAUAAAACAGGGUAUGCAUACCCUCUUGUAUGUACCAUAUGAAUAAGGAUCGGCUAACUCCGUGCCAGCAGCCACGGUAAUACGGAGGAUCCGAGCGUUAUCCGGAUUGAUUGGGUUUAAAGGGAGCGUAGGUGGAUUGUUAAGUCAGUUGUGAAAGUUUGCGGCUCAACCGUAAAAUUGCAGUUGAAACUGGCAGUCUUGAGUACAGUAGAGGUGGGCGGAAUUCGUGGUGUAGCGGUGAAAUGCUUAGAUAUCACGAAGAACUCCGAUUGCGAAGGCAGCUCACUGGACUGCAACUGACACUGAUGCUCGAAAGUGUGGGUAGCAAACAGGAUUAGAUACCCUAGUAGUC
rnacentral:rRNA from 1 species